UGGGCGCAGGCAGAGCGCGUCAGCAGGCCGCGACGCCGGGGGCGGGCCUGGCCCAGCCCGGCUUAGCUAGGAUCGGCUCGGCUCGGCUCAGCUCGGCGGGACUCGGCUCGGCUAGGCUCGGCCCGGCCCGGCCGCCAGGGAGCGCGUGCGGGGCUUCGGGCCUUCCCCGGCCUGUGGAAAGGAGUAAUCAGUAAACCAGAGGAGGUGACCCUGAAAGUACAAGAUGUCAAUGAAAUACCACUGAAACCUUUCUCAAUGAAACGGUCACGUGCUAGGAGAAUUUCCUCAACUGAGAGGCUUUCGACACUCUUCUACUUAUCUUCCAAGGCUUACUUGCUGUGCCUCAGGAGAUUUGAGAGAAAAAUCUGGAAAAAUUUACAUCUGAAGAUUGUCCUUGAGUUUCUGCGAAUGAGACACGGAAGCUUGAAAACACACAGAGUGAAAGGAUGGAUCUUCAAUGUAAUAUUUGCAGUACUAAGAUGUAACUUCAGACUGGAAAAAAAUAUGGAAAUGCCAGUCAGAUUUAUGAAUAUUAUUUUUAAUAGAAGUGAUGUUCCUACAGGAAAUUAUUAUGAAGAUUUUUUUCCUCUCUAGAGGAUGUACAGUAUGGCACAGAAAAAUGGUAGCCCUACUUGGAAAAAGAAAAAUCACUUCCAACAAGCAUUAUUAGGUGUGGUGGCCAGAACUGUUCAGAGAAGAGGUGGGUGUCAGGGCCCUGAGAACACUAUUGGACCUUACUCAGCCAGCCUGCCCACCCUGGGGCCUCUCCCAACCCCUGCCCAUGGGCUUAGGAACCCCUUUCACCUUAGCCUAAAUAUAUUACUCUGAGCACCACAGCUGAAAAAAAUCAGUGGUGCUGUCAGUUUAAAAGAGACAGCAAUCUUAUGCAGACCCAGGGUAAACAACUCUAAAAAGGAGGCACAUUAGGUGUCUGUAAUAACAAACAAACAAACAAACAAACAAACAAACAAACAAACAAACAAACAAACAAACAAACAAACAAACAAACAAACGUACAGAGGGGAAAAAAAAAAACAUAGAAUUGGGUUUUCCUAUAUUGGGUAGCCCUAUAAUAAAAGGGCUAUCACCCAAGAAAUUAAAAUUUAGAAGUUAAACUGGAUUUUCAAAAACACAGUAGAAACACUGUUUCAGUAAUUCCUCGUAUGAGCAAAUGGGUAAGUUGUGAUGAAAAAGUAUUAUCAGUUAUGACCAAGAAUUUUGUGUGGUGUAAUUGGGGGUUUGUACUUUCCUCUUAGUAACGAGCUACUGUUUCCCAGCAAUAAAAUAAAUAUGAUUUUGCAGUUGACAUUAUGGGCUCUUCUUGUGGAACUAAUAAAAUGAAAAUGCUUUUAUCAAGUAUAUCAAUUACAGGAAUUUGGUUUUAUGUAGACACUGCAAAAUGUAUUCUGCUCUGGAAGAAAAGUAGUCACACUAUUACUCUAAAUAUAAAUGCGUGGUCCAGCUUAAAAACUCUUGGAACAAAUAACCAAUUGCAACUUUGUCAUUACACACAUACACAGGCAACAUAGAGUUAAUUCUGAAAGAUUUCUUACAGGUAUCUGGAUUUAAACGUUCCUACCACAGAAAAUUUUAGAAUUAAGUCUUUUCUGUCCACGUAGGUAAAUAUUUUUAUAUUUUGAAAAAGCCAACUAUCACAUAUAAAAUAAUAUUAGAAAGUAGCUGCUUGUUUUUCAAGCCUGAGACUACCAGAGGACAAAUGAUGUCUUCAUGGAGAGAAAUAUGUCCUUCUCCAAUCCAGUCCUUCACUCAUUUUCUUUGGCCAUGGAAAAUUCAGUAGACACCACUAUGGAAACAGCCCUCAGUUCUUAAAACUGUCCUUCAAAAAGUUUCCAAAUUGGGAUUCUUUUAGGAGACACAGGUUAUAAGCCUAUUAUCCUCUUAAAACCUGGGGUGAAACAGACUGGGAAAAGUGGGGGAGGAGAGAGGACUUAUGCUUUGCUGUUGUCUUGAUUACCAGAAUUUUAACCAAAUGCCGAUUAUAUGGAUUGGAAUGACAGCAACCAACUUACCAAAUGUUUAAAUGAAAGCCACCCUCCAAAGGACAGAUUUAAGUUUACACAAUAAAAUUAAUCUUUGUGCCGUGAUGCUUCAAAAACACUCAAUGUAUGUGAAAAACAGCGAUGCGGAAAAAUUAACAAUGUUUCUUCAAAAUCAGAAGCAAAACCAGCUUGUCAGGUCUCUAGAAAUGCUGAAGAAUAUUGACACUGUUGGUCAGGAAGCUUUGAAUUAUAUUGUAUGAUACAACAGUUGAAGAAAAAAGCUGAAGAGCUCUUUAAUAAGAUAGCAUAAACGCAUUUCUUCUGGAAUGACAAAGGAUAUUUUGUGUUCUAGGGGACUGCUGUUGGUGAUUCUAAUAUUCAUUAUUUAUUCUGCAGGGUCUCAAAAUGAACUUUUUGCCAGUGAAAGUGCACCUGAAUGUUGGGAAAGUUGUGAUGAAAGCCCUGGUCAAAGUGGACACUUCCAUAGUCAAGGAAAAAGCUUUCGCUCAGAUUGUAAGACAACAAUGUGACCACCUGUAAAAUGGAAACUAAUUUUAAAAAUUAAUGACUUACUGUGUCAUACUUUUAGUCUUUAAAUAAAACUCUCUUUAAAAUGUUAUAUGUAAAA